UUUAAGCUCCAUAUAUAAAGUAUUUUAACUUUUAUUAGAAAA
rnacentral:tRNA from 5 species